CCUACGAGUGGCAGCAGUGAGGAAUAUUGGUCAAUGGGCGUAAGCCUGAACCAGCCAAGUCGCGUGAGGGAUGAAGGUUCUAUGGAUCGUAAACCUCUUUUAUCAGGGAAUCAAGUGUGGGACGUGUCCUCUUUUGUAUUUACCUUAUGAAUAAGGAUCUGCGAACUCCGUGCCAGCCGCCGCGGUAAUACGGAGGAUCCGCUCGUUAUCCGGAUUUAUUGGGUUUAAAGGGUGCGUAGGCGGCCGUUUAAGUCAGCGUUGAAAGUCUGUGGCUAAAGCAUAGACUUGCCGUUGACACUGGGGGGCUUGAGGAUGUGUGAGGAAGGCGGAAUGCGUGGUGUAGAGGUGAAAUGUUGAG
rnacentral:rRNA from 1 species